rnacentral:rRNA from 1 species
CCGCGGUAAUACGGAGGGUGCAAGCGUUAAUCGGAAUUACUGGGCGUAAAGCGCACGCAGGCGGUCUGUCAAGUCGGACGUGAAAUCCCCGGGCUCAACCUGGGAACUGCAUUCGAAACUGGCAGGCUAGAGUCUUGUAGAGGGGGGUAGAAUUCCAGGUGUAGCGGUGAAAUGCGUAGAGAUCUGGAGGAAUACCGGUGGCGAAGGCGGCCCCCUGGACAAAGACUGACGCUCAGGUGCGAAAGCGUGGGGAGCAAACAGGAUUAGAUACCCUGGUAGUCCACGCCGUAAACGAUGUCGACUUGGAGGUUGUGCCCUUGAGGCGUGGCUUCCGGAGCUAACGCGUUAAGUCGACCGCCUGGGGAGUACGGCCGCGAGGUUAAAACUCAAAUGAAUUGACGGGGGCCCGCACAAGCGGUGGAGCAUGUGGUUUAAUUCGAUGCAACGCGAAGAACCUUACCUACUCUUGACAUCCAGAGAACUUUCCAGAGAUGGAUUGGUGCCUUCGGGAACUCUGAGACAGGUGCUGCAUGGCUGUCGUCAGCUCGUGUUGUGAAAUGUUGGGUCAAGUCCCGCAACGAGCGCAACCCUUAUCCUUUUGUUG